UCUAACCAGUGGAAAAGGUACUUGUAUGGAUCCUCUGAACCCUGAGUGGAACUUCCUGAAAGAUUUAUUUGGAGAAAAACCUUGGAAGCAGCAGAAGGACAAACAGACUCGCUGGCUGGCCAAAGACUCGUGGCCCGGUCUCCACGACUUGAGGGGAGUUACAUCUUAGAGGCCUGAUCUUUGGACCAGAAAGGAAUGAAAAAGUUGCCCCUUACGAUGGCUGUGCCUUGUCAGUUGCUUGAAGCUGCGUUCAGGGAUUUCCCGAGCCUCAUGGAUUUACAGAGACAUUCAGCUGCCGAGAAUGACGGCGGAGGAAGCGUGGUCUGGAAUCACACGGCGGAGGAAGCGUGGUCUGGAAUCACACGCGCCUGGCUCACGUUUGGAUGUUAAUGGCAGUUUUCAGGAAGACCAUGGCUGAGUGCCUGGCAGAUCCCUGCACCUGGACACCUGUGGGGGACAGAGGACCGUGGCUUCCUGUGAUGCCUGGGAUCUCUGCCCUGUGUCUGCACGAGCACGGCUUGGGUCGCUACCAGCCUCACUGAGGGUGCCUGUGAAAGAAUCCCAUCAUUCCUUGGAUUUUGGUGCUGUCAGUCUGAAAAGCAGAUGUACCUGUUUGGUACUCUAGAGGGAAUGUCCUUCCCUGAAUGAAAAAGCUGGGCCAUUUGGGGAUUUGGAGAAUAAAGUGAAAGUGCCCGCAUCGAACUCAGCAGCGAGCCAGCUGGCUGCUCCAGCCAUGCCUGGAUCCCCCGGAAGUCCGCAGGAAGGAGCUGCCUGCUGGCCCCCUCUCUCCACGCCCCCUGCUGUGUAGACAGCAGUAGCUGUGGGAACACACAGGGAUGGGAAAGCAAACACACUGCGCACCGGGGAUUCCACCCUUGGGCCGGUUGUCAGGCUGUGAUUUUAGCGGAGUCCUGAGCUCCUGUGGAGAUUUGCCUCUAUCCAGCCUUGGGCUAUCUGCAUUCCUGAACAUUUCUGGGCCCAGAAGGAAAAGAAGAAUGCUGACCAGCUCUGGGGAUGGCCUGAAUGAGGAGAGCACGAUUCCUGGCGGUGGUGGCCUCGGUCCGCAAACAGCCUUGUCCACAAUGUGCCCAACACGUUGGAAACCUUCUCUUCCCGCAGCUCGGGACAGAGAACACAGUCCCGGGGUGGAGUGUGAGAGAACUGCUCAGACAUGUUAAGUAACUCAGCAGAGGUCACACAGCUAAGGGACACAGAGGAACGUACCAAGCAGUGAAGGCCAUUUUUCAUCACUGCUGUCCUCCACGAGCUUACGUCUGGAAUGGGAGGCAUCUUUGCACUAAUGAACGGGUUGGAUGGAGCCCAGAAAACACUUGACACAGGUAGCAUUGACCCAGAAAGAAGUGAAUCCUUGUGUCCAGUGACUAGAAGACACACGAACCUGGAAAAAGGAGCCCAGGAGAUUGCUGUUUCCCCCACAUAGGAGAACAUCCACCCCCUCCUGCCCCUCGCCCAUAACACAUGACACAUUUAGCAGUGAUUUGGUCACUGCUGAGCUAUCUUCAUUUAAUGUGAUUUUGGCAGAAGAGUUGGUCUGGAAAUUGUAUUUUCAAUUAAACUUCCUUGUUGA